rnacentral:misc_RNA from 1 species
GUGGAUGUACGCAGUUUCCCGAGUCGGAAAUAGUGAAGGCCUGUAGAAGUUGGCUCAAUCAACGUGAAAGUACGAACGCCUGGCGGUUUCUUCAAGCGAUAAAUAGUCGGCAUGACCUAACAAAACAAUUAAAUGAAGUAAGAUGCCCAACACUCAUAUUUGUGGGCGAGGACUCCCCGUUCGUAUUGGAUGCAUAUCACAUGAUAUCAAAGAUGGAUUGCAAGUAUAAUAAGAAGCUACACAGAAGAGAUAGCUGGAUGGAGGAGGUUCAUGCAUGUGGAUCGAUGGUGACGGAAGAA